GAUCCUGGCUCAGAACGAACGCUGGCGGCAGGCUUAACACAUGCAAGUCGAACGCAUCCUUCGGGGUGAGUGGCAGACGGGUGAGUAACGCGUGGGAACGUGCCCUUCAGUUCGGGAUAACCCAGGGAAACUUGGGCUAAUACCGGAUACGUGCGAGAGCAGAAAGAUUUAUCGCUGAAGGAUCGGCCCGCGUCUGAUUAGCUAGUUGGUGAGGUAAUGGCUCACCAAGGCGACGAUCAGUAG
rnacentral:rRNA from 1 species